rnacentral:precursor_RNA from 8 species
UUGGCCAUUGGUGAACUGUGUGUAAAGUGCCUGUCAAGCUGAUUAAGUAUUGAUGCAACACGAUGAAUACUUAUUCAGCUUCUGACAGUUGGUUUCCACAACUGAACAACACAUGCAACC